UACGAAGGGGGCUAGCGUUGCUCGGAAUUACUGGGCGUAAAGGGAGCGUAGGCGGACUGUUUAGUCAGAGGUGAAAGCCCAGGGCUCAACCUUGGAAUUGCCUUUGAUACUGGCAGUCUUGAGUACGGAAGAGGUAUGUGGAACUCCGAGUGUAGAGGUGAAAUUCGUAGAUAUUCGGAAGAACACCAGUGGCGAAGGCGACAUACUGGUCCGUUACUGACGCUGAGGCUCGAAAGCGUGGGGAG
rnacentral:rRNA from 1 species